rnacentral:rRNA from 1 species
AGACCCGAAACCCGGUGAUCUAGCCAUGGGCAGGUUGAAGGUUGGGUAACACUAACUGGAGGACCGAACCGACUAAUGUUGAAAAAUUAGCGGAUGACCUGUGGCUGGGGGUGAAAGGCCAAUCAAACCGGGAGAUAGCUGGUUCUCCCCGAAAGCUAUUUAGGUAGCGCCUCGUGAAUUCAUCUCCGGGGGUAGAGCACUGUUUCGGCUAGGGGGCCAUCCCGGCUUACCAACCCGAUGCAAACUGCGAAUACCGGAGAAUGUUAUCACGGGAGACACACGGCGGGUGCUAACGUCCGUCGUGAAGAGGGAAACAACCCAGACCGCCAGCUAAGGUCCCAAAGUCAUGGUUAAGUGGGAAACGAUGUGGGAAGGCCCAGACAGCCAGGAUGUUGGCUUAGAAGCAGCCAUCAUUUAAAGAAAGCGUAAUAGCUCACUGGUCGAGUCGGCCUGCGCGGAAGAUGUAACGGGGCUAAACCAUGCACCGAAGCUGCGGCAGCGACACUAUGUGUUGUUGGGUAGGGGAGCGUUCUGUAAGCCUGUGAAGGUGGCCUGUGAGGGUUGCUGGAGGUAUCAGAAGUGCGAAUGCUGACAUAAGUAACGAUAAAGCGGGUGAAAAGCCCGCUCGCCGGAAGACCAAGGGUUCCUGUCCAACGUUAAUCGGGGCAGGGUGAGUCGACCCCUAAGGCGAGGCCGAAAGGCGUAGUCGAUGGGAAACGGGUUAAUAUUCCCGUACUUGGUGUUACUGCGAAGGGGGGACGGAGAAGGCUAUGUUGGCCGGGCGACGGUUGUCCCGGUUUAAGCGUGUAGGUGUGUGUUCCAGGUAAAUCCGGUUCACUUUAACACUG